rnacentral:rRNA from 1 species
UACGGGGGGGGUAAGCGUUGUUCGGAAUUACUGGGCGUAAAGGGCUCGUAGGCGGCCAACUAAGUCAUACGUGAAAUCCCUCAGCUUAACUGGGGAACUGCGUGUGAUACUGGAUGGCUUGGAUUUGGGAGAGGGAUGCGGAAUUCCAGGUGUAGCGGUGAAAUGCGUAGAUAUCUGGAGGAACACCGGUGGCGAAGGCGGCAUCCUGGACCAAUAUUGACGCUGAGGUGCGAAAGCCAGGGGAGCAAACGGG